rnacentral:rRNA from 1 species
AUUGAACGCUGGCGGCAUGCCUUACACAUGCAAGUCGAACGGCAGCACGGGAGCAAUCCUGGUGGCGAGUGGCGAACGGGUGAGUAAUAUAUCGGAACGCGCCCAGUCGUGGGGGAUAACGCAGCGAAAGCUGUGCUAAUACCGCAUACGAUCUAUGGAUGAAAGCGGGGGAUCGCAAGACCUCGCGCGAUUGGAGCGGCCGAUAUCAGAUUAGGUAGUUGGUGGGGUAAAGGCUCACCAAGCCGACGAUCUGUAGCUGGUCUGAGAGGACGACCAGCCACACUGGAACUGAGACACGGUCCAGACUCCUACGGGAGGCAGCAGUGGGGAAUUUUGGACAAUGGGCGCAAGCCUGAUCCAGCAAUGCCGCGUGCAGGAUGAAGGCCUUCGGGUUGUAAACUGCUUUUGUACGGAGCGAAAAGGCUCUCUCUAAUACAGGGGGCUCAUGACGGUACCGUAAGAAUAAGCACCGGCUAACUACGUGCCAGCCGCCGCGGUAACAC